GAUGAAGCACGUAGCGAAAUGCGAUACGUAAUGUGAAUUGCAGAAUUCAGUGAAUCAUCGAAUCUUUGAACGCACAUUGCGCCUGCCAGCACUCUGGCAGGCAUGCCUGUUCGAGCGUCAUUUCAACCAUCAAGCCCUAGGCUUGCGUUGGAGCCCUGCGGCUGCCGCAGGCCCCUAAAAGCAGUGGCGGGCUCGCUAUCACACCGAGUGCAGUAGAUUACUCUUCGCUCAGGGCGUGUGGCGGGUUCCAGCCGUGAAACCCCCUACUUCUCAAGGUUGACCUCGGAUCAGGUAGGAAUACCCGCUGAACUUAAGCAUAUCAAUAAGCGGAGGA
rnacentral:misc_RNA from 1 species